rnacentral:rRNA from 1 species
AACGAACGCUGGCGGCAGGCUUAACACAUGCAAGUCGAGCGCCCCGCAAGGGGAGCGGCAGACGGGUGAGUAACACGUGGGGAUCUGCCCAAUGGUACGGAAUAGCUCCGGGAAACUGGAAAUAAUACCGUAUGUGCCCGCAAGGGGAAAGAUUUAUCGCCAUUGGAUGAACCCGCGUCGGAUUAGCUAGUUGGUGUGGUAAAGGCGCACCAAGGCGACGAUCCGUAGCUGGUCUGAGAGGAUGAUCAGCCACACUGGGACUGAGACACGGCCCAGACUCCUACGGGAGGCAGCAGUGGGGAAUAUUGGACAAUGGGCGCAAGCUUGAUCCAGCCAUGCCGCGUGAGUGAUGAAGGCCUUAGGGUUGUAAAGCUCUUUCACCGAUGAAGAUAAUGACGGUAGUCGGAGAAGAAGCCCCGGCUAACUUCGUGCCAGCAGCCGCAGUAAAAC